rnacentral:rRNA from 1 species
GUUUUAGCAGAGGGGCUCACCUGUUCCCAUUCCGAACACAGAAGUUAAGCCCUCUAGCGCCGAUGGUACUGCGAAAGCGGGAGAGUUUGUCGCCGCCAGUU